rnacentral:lncRNA from 1 species
UUCAUUCCUUAGGGAGUGAGAGGGUAAAGGGGAAAGGGUGGGUGGCCCCCUACAAGUUCUUGAAGUCGGAUGGAACGAAAGCGCAUAUAGGAAACGAAACUCAGACCUAUGGUGCCAUAUAAGAUAAGCAUUUCCUGAUCGGGUAAAGAUUUCGAGAUUAGAAUUGAGUGAGGGCAGCGGUUCCUCCAUAAUAAUCGGAUGGAACUAUAGCGCAUAUAAGAAACAAAACUCAGACCUAUGGUGCCAUAUAAGAUAAGAAUUUCCUAAUCGGGUAAAGAUUUCGAGAUUAGAAUUGAGUGAGGGCAGCGGUACCUCUAUAAUAGCUAUGAAAAAUGGAAGUGGAAU